rnacentral:rRNA from 1 species
GUGGGGAAUUUUGGACAAUGGGCGCAAGCCUGAUCCAGCAAUGCCGCGUGCAGGAAGAAGGCCUUCGGGUUGUAAACUGCUUUUGUACGGAACGAAACGGUCCUGGCUAAUAUCCGGGGCUAAUGACGGUACCGUAAGAAUAAGCACCGGCUAACUACGUGCCAGCAGCCGCGGUAAUACGUAGGGUGCGAGCGUUAAUCGGAAUUACUGGGCGUAAAGCGUGCGAAGGCGGUUAUGUAAGACAGAUGUGAAAUCCCCGGGCUCAACCUGGGAACUGCAUUUGUGACUGCAUGACUGGAGUGCGGCAGAGGGGGAUGGAAUUCCGCGUGUAGCAGUGAAAUGCGUAGAUAUGCGGAGGAACACCGAUGGCGAAGGCAAUCCCCUGGGCCUGCACUGACGCUCAUGCACGAAAGCGUGGGGAGCAAACAGGAUUAGAAACCCCAGUAGUCC